GUUUGUUGGAACCAAUCUCAUAUCUAGAUGUGAUCAUUCGUAUUUAAAAGUGAUUUAAGCGUUAGUUGUACAAUGUUUCUCAAUGAAAUUCCAGAGAGAUGUUUGCUCAUCAUUUUUGGUCUGAUAAAUGAAUUGGAUGAUUUAGUAAACUGCUACAAAAUAUGCAGCAAAUGGAGCCGUUUAAUUGAAGAGCAAACUAGAAAAGCUAAAUAUUUGAUUGGUAAGAAAAAAUUAUUUCCACUGCUUAUUCUCAUCGUGAUCAGAUUUACUCUUAAACAAUUUAUAUUUGUGGAAGACGGAGGUGAUUGGCCAGAUAAGGAGCCAUUUCCAAGUUAUCUGUUGAAUCAUGUUACUUAUCGAACAGAGGAACCAAUUGAUGGAACUUGUUUGAGCAUCUAAUGGUUGCCGAUUUCGGUUGGAAACUCUGUAAAAAAGUAGGUUAUGAAGAUAUUGUUGCAUUGGUCAAAAAGAUAAAAUCUUUCAAAGGAAUAAUUGGCUCAUUCUAUGAAGGGGAUAAAUCAAUUUUCCAAUAUUGUCAUCAACUCGAAAUGGUAGCCACGAGUUGCGAAUGUUACACUGAGCCGUGCUUAAAAAAGAAUGGUGCCGGCAUCAAACAAUUGCAAAUUUGGGGUUGUACUCUAGAUAGAUUCAUGAAAGAUGCCAAAUAUUUUCCAAAUCUUGAAAGACUGUUCAUUUGUCAUAAGGAAGGUGACUUAAAAAUACUUUUUUGAAAAUUUUUAAUGAUUGGAAUUCAUCUUUUAUCCUCAGACUGUCCAGAUGGCUACUACGAAAAUGGUGCCAUAUUAAGCAGACUUAAAAUAGUGGAAAUGUCCUUAAAUAGCUAUAGCUUAUCAAGAAGAUAACUCAAAAGGGAAUAAAAAUACGGACAAUUCACACUAUUUCAUUGUCAACUUUCAUAAAGAGAUAAAUAACCGAUAGGCUUGAUUUUCAAGCACAUUACUGAACUUAAAUACAA